CCUACGGGGGGCAGCAGUGGGGAAUAUUGGGCAAUGGGCGCAAGCCUGAACCAGCCAAGUAGCGUGAAGGAUGACUGCCCUAUGGGUUGUAAACUUCUUUUAUAAAGGAAUAAAACGAGGCACGUGUGCCUUUUUGCAUGUACUUUAUGAAUAAGGAUCGGCUAACUCCGCGCCAGCAGCCGCGGUAAUACGGAGGAUCCGAGCGUUAUCCGGAUUUAUUGGGUUUAAAGGGAGCGUAGAUGGGUUGUUAAGUCAGUUGUGGAAGUUUUCGGCUCAACCGUAAAAUUGCAAUUGAUACUGGCAGUCUUGAGUACAGUUGAGGUAGGCGGAAUUCGUGGUGUAGCGGUGAAAUGCUUAGAUAUCACGAAGAACCCCGAUUGCGAAGGCAGCUUACUAAACUGUGACUGACAUUGAUGCUCGAAAGUGUGGGUAUCAAACAGGAUUAGAUACCCUUGUAGUC
rnacentral:rRNA from 1 species